rnacentral:rRNA from 1 species
UACGGAGGGGGCGAGCGUUGUUCGGAAUUACUGGGCGUAAAGCGUGCGCAGGCGGCUUCUCAAGUCAGGGGUGAAAGCCCAGAGCUCAACUCUGAAAUUGCCUUUGAGACUGAGUGGCUUGAGUACGAGAGAGGUGAGUGGAAUUCCCAGUGUAGAGGUGAAAUUCGUAGAUAUUGGGAAGAACACCGGUGGCGAAGGCGGCUCACUGGCUCGUAACUGACGCUCAUGCACGACAGCGUGGGGAUCAAACAGG